CGUGUAGGCGGACGUGUAAGUCUAUUCUGAAAGCUCCUGGCUAAACUGGGAGAGGCGAAUGGAGACUGCAUAUCUAGAGUGAGGAAGAGGAAAGUGGAAUUCCGCGUGUAGUGGUGAAAUGCGUAGAGAUGCGGAGGAACACCAGUGGCGAAAGCGACUUUCUGGUCCUUAACUGACGCUGAGGCGCGAAAGCAUGGGGAGCGAACGGGAUUAGAAACCCCGGUAGUCCAUGCCAUAAACGAUGUUCACUAAACGUUCGUAUUCCGCGAGGAAUGUGGGUGUUGAAGCUAACGCAGUAAGUGAACCGCCUGGGGAGUACGGUCGCAAGGCUAAA
rnacentral:rRNA from 1 species